rnacentral:rRNA from 1 species
UACAGAGGUGGCAAGCGUUGUUCGGAAUUACUGGGCGUAAAGGGCGCGUAGGCGGUCUUGUCAGUCCCUUGUGAAAUCCCCCGGCUCAACUGGGGAACUGCACGGGAAACAGCAGGGCUUGAGUUCGGGAGAGGGAAGCGGAAUUCCGGGUGUAGCGGUGAAAUGCGCAGAUAUCCGGAGGAACACCGGUGGCGAAGGCGGCUUCCUGGACCGACACUGACGCUGAGGCGCGAAAGCUAGGGGAGCAAACGGG